rnacentral:rRNA from 1 species
GAUGAACGCUAGCUACAGGCUUAACACAUGCAAGUCGAGGGGCAGCAUGAACUUAGCUUGCUAAGUUUGAUGGCGACCGGCGCGACGGGUGAGUAACACGUAUCCAACCUUCCGUUUACUCAGGGAUAGCCUUUCGAAAGAAAGAUUAAUACCUGAUAGUAUGGUGAGAUUGCAUGAUAGCACCAUUAAAGAUUUAUUGGUAAACGAUGGGGAUGCGUUCCAUUAGGUAGUAGGCGGGGUAACGGCCCACCUAGCCGACGAUGGAUAGGGGGUUCUGAGAGGAAGGUCCCCCACAUUGGAACUGAGACACGGUCCAAACUCCUACGGGAGGCAGCAGUGAGGAAUAUUGGUCAAUGGGCGAGAGCCUGAACCAGCCAAGUAGCGUGAAGGAUGAAGGUCCUACGGAUUGUAAACUUCUUUUAUACGGGAAUAAAGUAUCCUACGUGUAGGAUUUUGUAUGUACCGUAUGAAUAAGCAUCGGCUAACUCCGUG